UUGACUGGGCAAUAAUAACUCACUGCUGGUUAAUAUUCGCAAUACAGCAAUGCGUAAGUACUUCAAGGGAAAAGGGGCUGCUCUUUUGGGCUGUAUGUACACAGCUAAUAGAAAAAUCUGUCCCCAUUUCUGGUGUGACAUAGUUUAACAUUCACAGUGCGUAUGUAUCAACAACUGAUCGGUUUUCAGUCAAUCGCAACAGAAGAUGCAGAAAAUCAGAGGAUGAUCAUUCAAGAUUUUUCUUCACUGGAGUCUGAUAAUUAUGCUGACUGGUUUGGUGACUAUUUCCAUGGGGAACUAAUCUAAGAGCACUGUUAUUCUUCUCACUUGCAACUGCAUAUUUUUCAGAUGGACAGAUAAAUCCAGUUCACAAUGAUUAGUUUCCUAAUGUUUUGCAAAGACUCUCUGUAUUGUCUACCACUGAAGGUGCAGCAGGAAGGACAGAAGGGUGGUAUGACUGGGAAUAACAUCAGAGCUUGGAACAGAACUGCUCUUCACGAAGCGCUUUGCACCUUGAAGCAUUAUUUUCUGAGGAAGUGUGGGUCUUAAAGUGUCACAACUUAAAGCCGUGGAAGUGACAGAAGCAAAACUUAAAAGAGAAGAAAUAGGUAUGAUGACUAGACUGAAGGCUUUUGUAAGCUGCUAUAGAAAAAAUGCCAAGAUCUUCUUACCUGGUAAGUGGAUGUGAUAGACAAAUAAUGCCAGUUUGAUAUGCUUUUUAGAAGAUCUAGAGUUGGGAAAUCUUAACUCGCUAAAUCUGUUCUGAUGAAAAAACUCUUAGCUGGUGGUUCUCAGUUGCUAUGAAAAGGUUAAGAAAACCAGGUACUGUAUUUUCUAGUGAAUUGACAAUUUGCCUUAGAAUAGGUUUUCACGUUCACAUUUGUAUUUAAACAUACCGAAGCGGCAUUUUCCUACUUCCUACAGUCUAUUCCAUAUUGCAGUUUUUGUUGUCAAUUAUCUAAUUACUACCAGUGCUGGAGUCUUUGAUCAAACAAACAGUUGUUACAGGUCUUGUACCCACAGCUUGGCUCCUUCUGGGCACAGGUACCCAGUAUUGGAGUUGAAGGACUCAACUUUCACUAGAAGCUGCUUGCACGGAAGUCAACGGCAGAAUUCCCAGGAAAAGUCGGUGUCUGUGAGACCAACCCAAAUUAAGUGCUCUUUAAAAAUCUGCCUUCCUGAAGUCCAAUCCCAUAAUAAUAAACCUUGAAAACAAGAGCACAGGGGAGAUCCGAGGAAUGUGUAGCUAGAAGCAGUGCACAACACUCCCUUCCUUAGCAAACUCUUUCCAGAAACACACGCAGCUGAAAGGUCAAGUGGUUUAGAGGUUCACCGGUUAUACACCUUUGAGAAAGAAAAUGAAUUAAACUUAGCAGAAACAUAUUCAUGGAGUGAGCAAAAGAAAAAGGGAAGAAAUGCCAACCUAUCACACUUCUGUUGCGGAAAGGCGAUCACAACGACGUUGUCUCAGCAUGGCACAACCGCACAAUGAGACUGACCAGUCUGCAAGCAGGUGAUAGUCCAAAACCCCUAAAUAUAUAAGACAGUUGCAAAAUACUUUUUUUAAAUAAAAAUAUUUCAAAAGUAAUGCUUCAAUAAAGUAAACAAGUAAUGUUUAAAAAGAGAUUACUUUUUGCAUCAUAUACUGCAAAGUAUUGUGGUCUUUGAAAGUAACUUCUCACUCAGACAAAUUUAUUAGGGAUAGAGCUUUUCCUCAGUAUUACAUAAAUAAAAAUAAAUGUCUCAAAUGUUGGCUAAGGGACUGAGAGUAAUAUACUUGUAUUUUCAUUAGUGUAGCUAGCUCUGUGCUGGUCACUGUGGAAUAUUAAAUAUUGGAAAUCAAUAGAGUAGCUGUAUAUGUAUAGUACGUUUUAAGAGUAAUUACUAAUACCUAACUCCUCUGCAUGUCUACAUUCACUUCAGCAAAUAAUGCUGGUUUUAGUGUUGAUAAAUGUAUAGCAUGAACUGGCUGGAUUAAUUAAAACUGUUUGGAUGGAAAAGCUUAAUGCUGUAUGAUGUUUUAUUCAGGCUUACAGCAGGUUCCAUGAAAGUUUGUGCCCGGUCAUUGUAAAGAACUAAAACAUACGCCAUCACUCAAGGCAAGGAGUACGUCAAUGUUUCAAGGACCCACACAACCCACCGUGAGGCCAAACCCUCCCACAGCCAUAGAGGAAAGCAAGGACUGCAGGGGACUGUGGGGAUCAGGCCAGGGUGGGGCCUCCUGUCCCCCAAAUAUCUGGGGAGGUGGCAGGUCACCCCUCCACUUGCCACUGUCCCCCAGGAAGGCUGCCCGGUCUUUCCCUGGGCCAACAUCCACCCUAGGUCAUUUAGGAAGGAUGCUACAUGGAGAAGUUGCGUCAGUCCUACCUAUGAGGAUGAUGUAAGUUGAAGAAUGAAAAAUUCAAUUCGGCCUGCCCUGCUGAGGAGCCUUGGGCCACUCCUGAUUUGCCCUUGUUGUCCUCGUGUCUGUUCCCUGUUGUCACAGCAUGAGGAUUCUUCACAAGAACUAAUAAAUUUUCCCUUCCAGGAAGAUAUUUUUAGGGAGCUGAGGCACAUCAGGAUGUAGUGAAAUGGAGCACAGUGGAAUUUCACUGGUUUCAAACUUAGACACACUCAAGCAGAUUCAGAGUCACUGUUGCAAGUCCUCGCCUUCAGCUAAAGCACUCACAAAAGCUAUGACAGAGCCAGGAACCAAACCUUGAGCUCCCUAAAUAUAUAGAGAUAUGGGAAGAACCACACUGCUGAAGUUUCUAUUGUCAAAAAAUGUAUGGCCAAUAUUCAUGCUGUGAUUUUUGUUGGGCAUGACAGUUUUGGUUGGGGAAGAAUAAUGUUAUCUAGCUGAUUUUACUGUUGCAUUUCCAAAAUAAAAUAUUUCAAUGUUUCCCUGAAAAGUGUCUCUGAUUUUUCACCUGAAAAUGUAUCUUAGUUUCUACAGAGCUAUGUAGCACAAACUUAGUGAGCUAUUUCCCUUAUGCAUUAAAUGAAAUACAUUGAAAAUAAUAAUGGUCAGCAUUUUGGGCAACUUUUACAGGUGAAAAAAAAUCAAGGAAAGCACAACCAAUUUUCUUUCUGUUUAUAAACUAAUGUUUUUCCAGAUUAUAUUUUUAAAUUAUUCCCUGCUUAGGGUGUUUUAGACUAAUGUAAGCCUUUAUUAAAUUAUGCAGUUCAAUCAUUUUCUUUGGCAUUAGAACAGACACAGUUCCUGUAAGUUUUGGUAUGAAGUACUUUUGUAGCUGAUCUGUGUAGUCUUUCAGUGUGCCAGAAUACAAUGUACAAUAAAAUGGACUUCUACCAGGUUCCCUCAGGCUACUGUUUUAGGUGCUAUAUGCCCACUGACUCUCAAUAUAACUGUAAAUAAAAAAAUUAAGUAUAUUAAAAAAAAAAAAAAAGACCAGAAACUGGUAGCCAUAGUUAUGCUGAAAGAAAAUAGUUCACUUAAAUUAGAUUGAAAAUUUAUUAAAAAGAUUUUUCUGAAACAAUAGUAGAAGAAAGAGGAAGUAUGUGGGAUUUAGGAAGAGGGGAAUACCAGCAAAAUGAGGUAUCACAGACCUGAAAGGUGUCCAAAGGUUUUUGUGCUGAAGUCCUGCAGAGCAUCUUGUUCUGAGUAGUCUCCAAACCAAGUAAUGAUCCAAUCUGACGGAUUUAACUCUCAUUCUGGCAUUAUCCUUUUGACAGGGACUUGAGGUGUGGUGCCAUUUCUGCAAACAGGUCCUCAACAUCUGUUUUCCCAAAGUCAAGGUGCUGAUUUCCUUCCACAGGAAGGCAGCACCAGAGAUUUGUGGCAUUGACCAAAAUUUCUGCCAUAAUUUGCAUCACUAUUUUUAAAGCACUUUGGAAUUAAGCAACGAUUUUCACAGCAAACCACAAUCACCUCUCUCCUUAUCCUGGUCUCCCCUUACAAUGGGACAUAUGUUACAAUGUCAACUCAUUCUUUCAGUCACAUUUAAACUUUACCAGAGGAUCAAUUAUUUGUUUUCUAUUUAGGAAAAGAGGGAGUUUUGCCUUACAGGCAGCUUUUGUCCAAAACUGCUUGGAUUUGAAUAGAUUCAUCAGCAUUUGUGAAAGCUUCUUCAUUGCUCACUAUCUGCUAAAAGUAUUCUCUGGACCUGUUCAUUUUGUUUCAGCUCUACCUGAAGCCUACAAAGCUUUAAAAUGGUUUUCAGAAAACAAAGUGAAAUAGCCAGUGGGUCCAUCCCUACAGAACCUUUUGGGCAACUGCUUUGUCCUGGACCUCUGCAGAGACAUCCAGCUCAAACCCCGUGUACUACUUCUUAAAAACUUAAGAAAAAAAUUUAACUCCUUUGCCAGAGAUUUUCAAGGAAGAAUACGAAGCAUCAGGAUGUGCUCUACCGCAAAACAAGGGCUCCCACAUCUCCUUCCUUCCUGAACAAUCACCGCAGUCUUUAAACAAAAGAUUACAGUAAAAUGCGGUAUUUUAUGGCGUUUUUCCCCACAGCCACAAGAGGGGGUUUGAAGAACACGAUCUGCUUCGCACUUUCAGCCCAAGUCUUUUCUUUAGCGCAUGAUAUGUUAGUUGUAUCAUGAAACCAGUCAUUUCCUGAAAUGACUGAAAUUUUCAGUCAUUUUGCAAAAUGACUCCUUCACUCACUCAUUUCGUAAAAUGACUAAAAGUUUCACACGUUCUACGAAAUGACUGACGUGCUGGAUAUUCUGCUAGACUGUUUGUUUGUUUCACUCGGUAACAGGCAUAUUGUGAAAAGGGGGGUUACUGGAUAAGGAUCCUUUGCUUGUUCUGCAGUGACUGCCAGAGGUGGCUCUGGAUUUCAAAAGUAGCUUCAGAAAAGAACUUUACAAAAAGUAUGAGAAGUGCCCAAAGUGCAUGUUACCAGGGGAAGAAUAUUGUUCAACUAUUGCUGAGAUCAAAAAGGCAAGCCAAUAUCCCAAAUCAAAGUCAAGAAUUGAUACUACCUGCUUGCAGGUGCUCAUAGGUAUGAAAUUGUAUAGUGUGGUGACAAUAAGAAACUAAUCAAGAAAUGCCUGAUUAAAGGAGCAUCUCCCAUAUACAAUGUGAGCAUGGAAAACAGGUAUGCUAUUACCAGGAAAGCACAUGUUGCUACAGGUUGUGGUGGUUAUGAUCAAGUUACAAAGCAUUUAUUGCCUAAAUAUGCAAACAUCACAAGAGAGAUUGUUGAGCUCUUCAAAUCUUUCUGUCUUGGAUGCCAGAAGAAGAGAAAGAGACCCUUGACUAAUAGCAUUGGUGUAAAACCGACCAUAAGCAAAGAAUACUCAUCAUAAGGGCAAGUUGAUGUCAUUGAUAUGCAGGCUUGGUCUCAAGGCAAUUUCAAGGGUAUAAUUAUGUACCAAGACCACCUCGCCAAAUUUUGUGUUCAAUGAGCCCUUACCUCAGAGGGAGCACUAUAAGUGGCCUUUCAGCUUUUCGAUAUUUUGCUCCUACUUGAUACCCCUGUUGUGUUGCGGAGUAACAAAGGAACUGAAUUUACUGCUGAAGUCAGCUAAGAACUGAGGCUUCUGUGGCCUCUGCUUAGCAUAGUGCAUGGAAAAGCAAGAUAUCCACAAGGCCAAGGCUCUCCCAAAGAGGAUAUUAAGCAAAAGCUCUUAGCAUGGAUGGCAGACAAUAAUUCAUGGGACUAGACUGUGGGGAUUCACUUUUUCCAGUUCUCAAAAGCACCACCCGUCAAUCUGGAAUAAACUGUACACCGUAUGCAGCUUGGUUCUGUACCAAUCCCAAAAGUGGGUUUAGCUCAACUUCUCUUCCAUCAGGGAUCAUCAACCACCUCCGCAGUCAGCACAAUCUGCUUUCAGUGCUCAGCACUCUUUCUAAUGACUCUGCUGCGUCAACAUAUCCAGAAGAAACAGUCCCCCUCAUCCGACACAGUGGUAGGCAGCCAAACUGGAACUACUGCUAAACUAAAGGUGAGACCUGUUCCUAUAUCUCAAGCUCUGUCAGAAAGGAUUCAUCCAGACCCACCAAGUUCUCCACUCACCGAUACCCUUGAGCUAACUGGCCCUUCACUUCUAGGGCACCAUCCCAACCACCCCCUGCAAAAUCCAGCCCCACAUGCUGCCCCCACCGGCACAGCCUCCCUGGGCAGCAGGAAGGACCCUGGGCAGCACGGGCUUUGCAGGCAGAGCUCUUGGUAAAGCACAGGCUUCAGAUGGAUGAAAACACUGAAAAGCUGAACAGAUAUGAUACUGAUGUUGCAGUCACCUCAGUUAUGAAGAUAAGUUCGGUUCUGGCAGGUGGUGUAUAUGACUGGAUGAUUUCAGGAGUCUGUAUGGCUUUAGAAGUUAAUAAAUUACAAAAAUAAUCUUACAUGUCUUUUUAAGUUAAUUCAAGUAACAAAGUAUCAGACAUUUUACAUGGUGCCUUCCUACUAGUUUCGCUAACUUCAUUAAAGGCAUGAAACUUUCUCUUAUUUCACAGAAUGACUGAAUGAAACAGCCAUUUUGUGAAAUGGCUGAAAAUGUUAAUCAUUUCCCGAAAUGACUGGUUUCAAAAUAUGACUGUAACAUAUACAACUCUGGAGUCACCCAUUACGUUUUCAGCAACAUACACUUCCCAGGAAAGCAUGUGGAACAGAAGUAUUACCCAUAGCUUCAUUUUAUUCUGUGCCGAGAGAGGAGAAGAAAAAAGGAAGAGAGGCAUGUGUUUUAAACCCAUUAAGACAUUUUGUGCUGUACCAAGUGAAAAUUAUUCUCUAAUGAUACAAUAUAACAUAUCCUAAAUUGGAUUAU